rnacentral:rRNA from 2 species
CUCAGGAUAAACGCUGGCGGCGCACAUAAGACAUGCAAGUCGAACGGAAGUCGUUAUAAAAAGGAUUGAAGAUUUAUCUGAUUGAGAUUUUAUAACAAUGGCUUUAGUGGCGGACUGGUGAGUAACGCGUGAGCAACCUGCCUACUAGAGGGGAAUAACAGUGAGAAAUCAUUGCUAAUACCGCAUAUGCCAUGAACAUCACAUGAUGAAAAUGGGAAAAGAGUAAUCUGCUAGUAGAUGGGCUCGCGUCUGAUUAGAUAGUUGGUGGGGUAACGGCCUACCAAGUCAACGAUCAGUAGCCGGACUGAGAGGUUGAACGGCCACAUUGGGACUGAGAUACGGCCCAGACUCCUACGGGAGGCAGCAGUCGGGAAUAUUGCGCAAUGGAGGAAACUCUGACGCAGUGACGCCGCGUAUAGGAAGAAGGUUUUCGGAUUGUAAACUAUUGUCGUUAGGGAAGAUACAAGACAGUACCUAAGGAGGAAGCUCCGGCUAACUACGUGCCAGCAGCCGCGGUAAUACGUAGGGAGCAAGCGUUAUCCGGAUUUAUUGGGUGUAAAGGGUGCGUAGACGGGAUAACAAGUUAGUUGUGAAAGCCCUCGGGCUUAACUGAGGAACUGCAACUAAAACUAUUAUUCUUGAGUGUUGGAGGAGGAAAGUGGAAUUCCUAGUGUAGCGGUGAAAUGCGUAGAUAUUAGGAGGAACACCCGGUGGCGAAGGCGACUUUCUGGACAAUAACUGACGUUGAGGCACGAAAGUGUGGGGAGCAAACAGGAUUAGAUACCCUGGUAGUCCACACCGUAAACGAUGGAUACUAGGUGUAGGAAAUGAUUUCAUUUUCUGUGCCGUCGCAAACGCAAUAAGUAUCCCACCUGGGGAGUACGGCCGCAAGGUUGAAACUCAAAGGAAUUGACGGGGGCCCGCACAAGCAGUGGAGUAUGUGGUUUAAUUCGAUGCAACGCGAAGAACCUUACCAGGGCUUGACAUAUAGAUGAAUAACUAAGAGAUUAGUUAGUCCUUCGGGACAUCUAUACAGGUGGUGCAUGGUUGUCGUCAGCUCGUGUCGUGAGAUGUUAGGUUAAGUCCUGCAACGAGCGCAACCCCUGUGAUUAGUUGCCAACAGGUAAAGCUGGGAACUCUAAUCAGACUGCCGGUGAUAAAUCGGAGGAAGGUGGGGAUGACGUCAAAUCAUCAUGCCCUUUAUGUCCUGGGCUACACACGUACUACAAUGGCUGUAACAGAGAGAAGCAACACCGCGAGGUAGAGCGAAACUCCAAAAGCAGUCUCAGUUCGGAUUGAAGGCUGAAAUUCGCCUUCAUGAAGCCGGAAUUGCUAGUAAUGGCAGGUCAGCAUACUGCCGUGAAUACGUUCCCGGGCCUUGUACACACCGCCCGUCACACCAUGAGAGUUGGGAAUACCCGAAGCCUGUGAGCCAACUGUAAAGAGGCAGCAGUCGAAGGUAGAAUCAAUGAUUGGGGUGAAGUCGUAACAAGGUAACCA